GCGUUUUGGCGAAACUGCUCACUUCAGCUGACUACUGUCGGGCCGCGCAUUUCUCUGCGCGCGUGUGCUGCGAGCCCUUCCCGGGGCGAGUGGUGCGCGCACGUGUGGUGGCGUGGACUGCGGUAGGAGGUGUGAGCGGUGGGUUCAGCGCUAGCCUCCGGGUACGGCGCAGGUGUGUCUACUUCUUAGAGGGACAAGCAUUACGAAUGUGCACGAAAUUGAGCAAUAACAGGUCUGUGAUGCCCUUAGAUGUCCGGGGCCGCACGCGCGCUACAAUGACGGUGCCAACGAGUCUGACCUUCUGGCCCGAAAGGGUUGGGCAAACUGGUCAAUCACCGUCAUGACAGGGAUCGGGGCUUGGAAUUGUUCCCCGUGAACGAGGAAUUCCUAGUAAGUGCAAGUCAUAAGCUUGCGCUGAUUACGUCCCUGCCCUUUGUACACACCGCCCGUCGCUACUACCGAUUGAAUGGUUUAGUAAGGUCCUCGGAUUGGCGCCAUUGCAGUGCCAGCCGCAAGGUUGGUGCUCGACAGGUGCCGAGAAGACCACAUUUCGAGGAAGUAAAAGUCGUCACAAGGUUUCCGUAGGUGAAACUGCGGAAGGAUCAUUA
rnacentral:ncRNA from 1 species